AGCUGCUCUUUCAGCAAGCCUGUCGCCUGAAGCUCUUCGCGCAAUACUGAGGUUUGGAUCAUUCACUGGAGGAGGGCGGAACUUUACGGUUACAGUUCACGCUUAUUGGCCGUACCACAAUGGGAGGAAAACUUGGGAACUUCUUAGAAGAGGAAGAGCCUGGCUUGGAGAGUCCGGUAAGCUUUGGUGUAGCUCACAAGAGACCAGACGCUGAGGUGCAGGAGUGGAGUAUUUAAAGGGAACUGAUUGUCGGGGGCAGGUGUGGGGAAUCAGUAGUCUGGGGAAGCUGAACGUGCCGGGAAGCGAUAAUGAACUUUUCCGUGGCCUGUCUUGUAAAUCUGAACCAUGGUGUGUUGUCAGAUAAGAGCAGCAUCUCAGCCUCAUGGAACCGUCAGAAGUUAUUAAUGAGUGCCGGGUGAAAGCAGAUGUCCGGGGCAGCUGGCAUCACAUCGCAGCCGUGAGCCUCACAAAGGACAGCGAGCUGCUCUACACCCACCCAGAUGAUUUUCCACUGGCUUUGAAGCCGGCAUUACCUCCAGAACCCAAUGAUGAUACCCAAUUACAUGAAAAUUGUCCCCUAAAUGAUCCCUGUGUCCCUGCCUCUGAUGUCUGUGAACACCAAGCGUAGUAACACAUUA